CUCCUCUUCUUGUUUGCACGCAUCAUCACAGAAGCUGAAAUACGUAAUGCGACGUCAUGACGUAUACAGAAACAAACAUGGCGCCGCGAAAGUGAGAGAAAACUCCGACUUAUAGUACAGCCAAGCAGGAUGUCCCUGAGGAAGCAACGCAGUAGGGACAGACCCCCUGAAAGCCCAUCAUUGGAUGCACAGGAAAACAAAGGUGUCACUGAUGGGAAGGAACAGGAUGAAUGCUCAGCUUGGCUUCUGUCCCCAGUCUUGUCAGAACGAGAAAAACGAUGGCGAGAAAGGAAAUACAAAGCCAAGUACAAAGACAUGACAGAUGAGGAGAUGAUGGCUUUGGCCCUCCAUCAAAGUGCGCAAGAAGCUGGCGUCAUUGCGCACAAAGUGCAACAGGAAGAAGUAGCCGUGAUGAGAGCCAUCCGAGAGAGUAGUGGUGAUUCCACGCAGACUGAAGACUGUCUGCUCCAUGAAUCCCCCGUCUUCCCCGCGUGUGACCGCGAAGCCAAAGUGACCGUUCCCAGUCUGAGCAAGGACAUGCUGCAGACAUGCGAGACUGUUGGCUUUGUGGUCUGUUCGCAGCUCUUGCCUGAGGAAAUCCCUUCUUUGGCUGGGCCAAAAAAUCCCUUCUUCUCCGAGUCAGACACAGGAGACGAUUGCGCCGUGGGAGACGAUUGCACACAGUGUAUAAAAAGCCCAGUGUUUGGCGAUGGAACGCGACUCAUCGAGUCUCUGGAUGCCAAAACUAAGAGUCGAGAUGGACCAAACUCGGGCUGGAUCUUUUAUUCUCAGGAAAGCUCAAGCCCAUCUGAAAGACCUUCUACCUCUCUGACGUUAAGCCCCGUAUUCCCAAGAAGCCCGACGCCCUCUGAGAAAUUUGCUUCCCCAAUAAACUCGACACUCUUAAUAGAUGAUUCCGUCUCGCCGUGGAAAGACUUAACGCACGACCAAGAUGCCCAGUCGAUAAGCGAAGACGAGCAAAACAUUCCCGAUAUUGCUGGCGACUCAUCCGAAACAGAGCUGACCAGUGACUCGACGCCUCGUCGAACCAUCAAAGAUAGAGAUGAGACGGUAAGAUCAUGCAGUCCAAUCUUCCCAGAGGAGAAGCGCUUCCAACGGACUCCAGUGGAAGCUGUCUGUUUGAACGACGAGACCCAAGUCGACCUGGGGGCAAACGCCGCCAGCUGCAGCCUAAACGAACAGCGGUUUGUCCCCUCCCAGCCGACUGUUCACUACUACUGGGGUGUCCCCUUCUGUCCUCGCGGUCUGGACCCAGACGCCUACACGCAGGUCAUCGUAACCCAGUUUGAGGUGUAUGCAAACUGUCUAAAGGAGGCACAGAGGAGUCUGCUGAGAAAGGCCCCAUGGGGGGAUCCCAUUCUCCCUCUAUCAGAGAAAUUACCUGAGAUUCCACAAAGCAGGUGUGGCGGCAGAAAAAAACGAAAGCUUGGUAAUCAGGACACGGUCAGCCAUCUGGGUGAGAUGGAAACAAGAACGAUGGAGGAGGUUGAAGAGGAGGAAGAGCAUCAGCAGCAGCAGCAGCAGAGUGGGAAUCCAUGUGAGACUGGAGAUCUGACAGAUACCGACGAGAGUUUGGUUUGUCCAGAGACCCAAAUGAGUCAGGAUUGUCACACCGAUAUAUUUAAGCCCAACAGCCCGAAAUGCCCCGAAACUACAAAGAGAAGCCACGAGUCAGAUAUCCAAAAGCUCGGGGAUGAGGAGCACAUGAGGAAAGUCUCUGCCAACAGAGAGAAUCAGACAAACCAUCUUGUCAGCAGCUAUGGUGCGACACAUGAGGAAGAAAGCGUACCUACGGUGUUGCGUUCACCCGAGCCGGAAGCUGCCAUGGAGUGUCCCAUUUGUCAGGGAACAUUCGCCAUUGAUGAGAUUGAACAGCACGCGGCAUUCUGCAACGACGAGGCAGAGACCGAGGACGACGGGGGACUUGGUGACCAAUUUUUGCAAGUAUCCUUGAGGCCGCGAAGGAAGAGGAGGAGAACAACAGAAGAGGGCGACGCCUCGUCCACUGACAAAAUCCAGGAGAAAUGUUAUGUCUGCCAAAAGGUGGUGGCUCGGCGAGACUACGGUGCGCAUACUGAGCUCUGCAUUCAACAGCGGACGACAAAAGACAACAGAGUUGGAGGAAAUCUGUUGAAAGCUUUGGAAGAUAUAGAGAGCAGGCAUGCAGGAGCCGGUCCAUCCAGUUGCAAACUCCAGCAAGGCGAUGUCAUCGACCUUCUGGAUGACGACGAGGAAGAGACGGCGGCUGUUUCCAUGGCAGAUAUUUGCAACUCACCCAUUAGGUCGUUCACACCCAUCUCAGAGGUCACUGAUUGCCUCGUGGACUUUAAGCGGCGGCGGCGGCUGAAGAAGCCAGGUCACAAACCAAGGUGAAGGAUGAGGGGAAAUGCCCGACGAGCCUUAACAAAGAUGGUAAACGCCAGAAAUUCUUUAAAUCAUUGGCUACCAUUGACGACGAUUGACGGCCGAUCAUUCAACUGGGAGGCGCCGACCAGCGCCUCCCAUUUGAAACGGAUCAGAUGUCUUCUAGUAAAAAAAAAAAUUCACACAUGAAGGUUGGACGCCACAUGAUUGGACAUCUGUUAUCAUCAAUGGGAGUGAAGGAUUUAAACUGAUGCACUUCAAUAAAUUGUAUUCUGUAUCAAUUUCCUGUUUCUCAAUACAUGUCUAAUAAAUGACAAAUUUUUCUCAGAUGAAUUUUGUAAUUUUCAUUCGACUUUAUUUGAUGAAAUUGGCUAUAUUUAAUAUACAGAACUUUUUGUGUGAAAGUGAUUUUGGUUGCAAGAAAAUUGAGAGGGUUAGUACUGUAGCUUGUUGCUCGACGUGAUUACUUUAGGAUACAAUGUUUUACAGAAAUGUUUUUCUAUUUUCUUUUUUUCUUUUUUCAAACAGUUUUCCAAUGAGACCGUUUGAUGCCUUAUUUAAUUUUAGAGUUUGAAUAUUCCCAAUUUGUUUGGGGAAAAAAUAGGUCUGGAGUGGCGUGGCUCAGUGGUAGAGUAGUUGUCCCCCAACCCAGAGGUUGUGGGUUUGAUUCUCUGCCCUGAUGAACUCGUCUAAGUAUCUUUGAGCAAGAUAUUUUACCCCAUGUUGCUCCUGGUGCUGCGUCACCAGUAGGUGGAUGGGGAUGUAGUGUAAAGCACUUUGAGGUCUGCGAAGGUGGAAAGGCGCUAUACAAGUAUAACUAUUUACCAGUUUCACUAACCGUUUUUAGGGCAUUCAUUGGCUGCCAUUGACGACUCUAGACGUUCAAUCUGUUUGGACUGGGAAGGGCCACCGACUCCAAAUGGAUUGGAUGUCUAAUGCUCUCAAUGGCACUGAAAGUUCAGUAUUCAGAGCCAGUUUAAAUUUAUUGGAUGUGUAUGGUUGUCAUUUGCAAGCAAAGAGGUAAAUACGGUAUUAUGAAAAAACAACAACUCUAGAGUUGUAUCGGGUGUCAUAACUACAGUAUAUUUUUUUAUUCAUUAAAAAAAAAAAAAAAAUCAUAAAAAUAAAUCACAGAGAUGUGGCCUCUAUAUACAGUAUACAGGUCACGAGUGAGUUUUUAGAGGGAUUAAUUUAAUAAGAAAUUCACCCUAUGUUGUUACAAAGUACCCUUUACAUUUCAUCAGGCUGGAGUUUUUGUAUUUCCCCUUAAGUGUGUGUGAGUGAGGCACUUUGACGCACACUUGGGUUUUCGCAAUGUCACAAUCAGCUUCUCGCUGCUGCCCUCUUCAUGUGCCUGCUUGUAUUAUUGAAUUUUUUUCCUCCUACAUGUGCUGUCACUUUCUCCCUCUGGCCGGAUGGCUGAGCAUACUCAGUUUGGGAGAGGACAUAGCAGAUUGCGUGUGAGAGAAACUGGGACUACUGUACUUGUGUGCUUGGACGACUACAGUGGGUGUAUACGUUACUUCAGUCAGUGUAGGUGAACGACAGAAAUGCAAAGACAAUCAUCAAUGGACGGCAACAUCUGCACCAUCCAUGUUGACGGCAUCCCUCAGGACACGCUCACCAAGGUGGAAAGCUACCUGAAGCCGUUUGUGCUGUCUCUGGAUGUACUGCAGCAGGUUUCUACUCGCCUGGAGCGUGAGCUGAAGCGAGGGUUGGGAAAACACUCGCACCACAGAGCCGCCGUCCAGAUGCUCCCAACCUUCGUCACGGCCACGCCAGAUGGGACAG